rnacentral:rRNA from 1 species
UACGGGGGGGGCAAGCGUUGUUCGGAAUUACUGGGCGUAAAGGGCUCGUAGGUGGCCAACUAAGUCAGACGUGAAAUCCCUCAGCUUAACUGGGGAACUGCGUCUGAUACUGGAUGGCUUGAGAUUGGGAGAGGGAUGCGGAAUUCCAGGUGUAGCGGUGAAAUGCGUAGAUAUCUGGAGGAACACCGGUGGCGAAGGCGGCUCACUGGCUCGAUACCGACGCUGAGGUGCGAAAGCGUGGGGAGCAAACAGG